UAGGGUUAUCGUUCCACUCUUGCUGGCCCUCAAUUUCUCCAUCGGAGCCUAUGUUCUUGUGAAGACUACAUUAAGAGAUAGGAGAAUUUCAGAGGAGAAAGUGGCUGAAGGACUUACUAGUUCUAGAUCAGAGGAGAAAGUGCCUGAAGAAAUUACUGGUUCUAGAUCGACAUCCACAGCGUAAAAGCUAGAGGUGAAUAAGAAAUUGAAGAAGCCUAGACCCUUGAGAGGCUGAAGGGAAAUUGCAUAGAUGAGGAGAAAGCUCUGAAACAGUUACAGUCAAAGACAUUUCCCUCCACAACUUUCUGAUAAGUUUCUUACUUAUGAAGAUCAUUGAGUAGUUCUUCUAUUCACUAAAAAUCCCAUUGGUGAUGUUUAGAAUCAGAAUUUAGAAUCAAUAUUUCUAUUUUGAAAUGAAGCUUUGUUGUGUUGGUAUUGCUUUAGUUCAGAUGUGGAAAACUGUGGUUAAAUUGAUAGUAUUUCAAUUUUUGGGGGGGUAAUUUACAGUUAAUGCAUUUUCCUUAUCUCCUUGAUUUAUCAUUGUUGGUGUCAUAUCAGGAAACAUUAAUUUAUGCAAUAUAUUGAAAUGAUAGUAAGAUGGGAGUAAUAUUUAAAGUCAUAAAAAUCAUAAUUGAAUGGUCAAUGGAAUUAUUGGUGAUAAACUGAUAAGUGAUAAUGUUAUCACUGUGGAAAAAAUGGAUAAUUCAUUUUAUGUGCUGGUGAAGAACAUUAAAAUUGACAUCCAUUUUCUGUUCAUAAUCAAAUAUUCUUGUAAACAAUAAGUUAAAUCUAAAACUGAGCCUGUCUAGUUAUUAAAAUUCACUUUCAACUUAAUAAUUUUUUUUCCGAUAAUUCACUAAUUUAUAAAUGAAAACCCAUGAUUAUAUGAAGAUAUUAGUACUUUAUUUAUUUUUAAAGUUCUCUGAAUAAUAAUGCCGAUUAUCAAUAUUAUUUUAAUAAUAAUAAUAAUAAUAAUAAUAAUAAUAAUAAUAAUAGAAUUGUAGACAGCAAACGACGUCGUGGCGAUGUGGAAAGCCACCCCAAAACCCACGGACUGAGAAAAAGAAUAAUAAGAGCGAGAGACUUCACCUGAGACAGAAGGGAAAACAAGCAAAAGGGGAAAAACUUGGAGAAGAAGAAUAAGAUCAACAAUGAGCGAAGAAGGCCCAAAGCUCUUCACCAACAAACCUAAAAAAUCUCAGUUGAAGGCAUCUGGAACGACAUCCUCGUCGUCAGCGGGAGCCACCGCUCCUCCGCCACCACCGCCGACGCCGCCGGUUAAGGAGACUUUCCAGCGAUUUAAGUUCUAUAAGACGAUUGCGUUGGUUCUCAGUUUAACUGUUGGAGGUUCUGAUAUAUUUAUUUAUCAUCUCAAUUUCUGCUGAUUUUUUGUUUAUUUUGGCUUUGUAUCAUCGUCUGAAUGGUUGUGCUAUUCGUAUUUGAUCGAUUUCUGAUUAUUGUUCUUUGCGGGAGAAUGAAUUUAUGCGUGUUUUAGAUUGCGGUAUAUUCUAAGUCUGCAACGUGAUGUUAGUUUAGAGAAUGCUUUCAUUUCUUCUUUAUCAGAUGCAUAUAACGUAGCUGUACUACUUCAAUUUGUGUAUGGUUUGUGUGCUUUGAUUGAUGACAUCUUUUUGAUUGAUGAAUUUAGAGAAUGAAUUUAUGCGUGUUUUUGAUUGAUGACAUCUUUUUACUUAUUUGAUCCAUAUAAUGUAUGAGGAAUGUAGUGGACUGUGGAUUAAAAUCAGCAUUAUUUGCAAGGAGUGGGGAUGAACUGCAUUGCUUAAGUUUUUUAUGGAUUUUUUGCUUUUGUGGUGAUCUUUGAACUUUAAGAACUAGAUAAAAAUGAUUUUGACGCCGUAUUUGUGGAGAAAUAAUCUUGAUUUUCUUGUCAUAGUAGGAUAGUCUGUACAAGAUUUGAUGGUGAAACUGAUGUCCGUAUUGAAGUUGUUAAUUGUCAUUUUUUUCCCUCAACGAACUAGAUAGAAAUGACUUUGAAGCUGUAUCCGUGCAUAAAUAUUCCUGAAUUUCUUGUCAUAAUAGGAUAGUCUGUACAAGAUUUGAUGGUGAAACUGAAGCCACAUUAAAAUUGUUAAUCGCCAUUUUUUGCUUCAAUGCACUAGUUGUUAGCGGUGGUUCUCAGCCCUAGGAUAGGAGAUGUUCUCUCUCAUGUAGUAUCAUGAACUGCAGUUGCAGUAUAUGUAGUAAGCAUGGUUUUUAUACUGACUGUCUCAUCCUCCAAAUUUACAACAACUAUCAUCGCUUUCUUUUAGGAGCACAAUUAUCUGCAAUUAGUUUGGCAUAUUUUGCAUAAAAAUGAUACCAAUAUUAUGGAAAGACAACAAUUUUCAAUUCAACUUGUGUAUGCACUAACUGGCUUUGAUGUUUCUCUCAAAUUUAUAGAGAAGGAAUUUGCUAUCUUACUAUCUUUAGAGUGUUUGGUCCUCUUUUUGAUG